rnacentral:rRNA from 1 species
UACGGGGGGGGCAAGCGUUGUUCGGAAUUACUGGGCGUAAAGGGCUCGUAGGUGGCCAACUAAGUCAGACGUGAAAUCCCCAGGCUUAACCUGGGAACUGCGUCUGAUACUGGAUGGCUUGAAUUCGGGAGAGGGAUGCAGAAUUCCAGGUGUAGCGGUGAAAUGCGUAGAUAUCUGGAGGAACACCGGUGGCGAAGGCGGCAUCCUGGACCGGCAUUGACGCUGAGGCGCGAAAGCUAGGGGAGCAAACGGG